rnacentral:rRNA from 1 species
GCAUAACGCGAAGAACCUUACCUGGGCUUGAACUGUCGGUAUAGGGACCCGAAAGGGCGACGAUCCCGGGCAACCGGGAAGCCGAUAGAGGUGCUGCAUGGCUGUCGUCAGCUCGUGUCGUGAGAUGUUGGGUUAAGUCCCGCAACGAGCGCAACCCUUGUCUUUAGUUGCCAGCGAGUCAUGUCGGGCACUCUAAGGAGACUGCCUCGGAUAACGAGGAGGAAGGUGGGGAUGACGUCAAGUCAGCAUGGCCUUUAUGUCCAGGGCUACACACGUGCUACAAUGGGCGGCACAGAAGGACGCGAGACCGCGAGGUCAAGCCAACCCUUAAAACCGUUCUCAGUUCGGAUUGCAGGCUGCAAUUCGCCUGCACGAAGUUGGAAUCGCUAGUAAUCGCGGAUCAGCCAUGCCGCGGUGAAUACGUUCCCGGGUCUUGUACACACCG